UACGGAGGGAGCUAGCGUUGCUCGGAAAUACUGGGCGUAAAGCGCACGUAGGCGGCGCAGCAAGUCAGGGGUGAAAUCCCGGGGCUCAACCCCGGAACUGCCCUUGAAACUGCAGUGCUAGAAUCUUGGAGAGGCGAGUGGAAUUCCGAGUGUAGAGGUGAAAUUCGUAGAUAUUCGGAAGAACACCAGUGGCGAAGGCGACUCGCUGGACAAGUAUUGACGCUGAGGUGCGAAAGCGUGGGGAGCAAACAGG
rnacentral:rRNA from 1 species